GAGUGGCGAACUGGUGAGUAACACGUGGGAAACCUGCCCAGAAGCGGGGGAUAACACCUGGAAACAGAUGCUAAUACCGCAUAACAACUUGGACCGCAUGGUCCGAGCUUGAAAGAUGGCUUCGGCUAUCACUUUUGGAUGGUCCCGCGGCGUAUUAGCUAGAUGGUGGGGUAACGGCUCACCAUGGCAAUGAUACGUAGCCGACCUGAGAGGGUAAUCGGCCACAUUGGGACUGAGACACGGCCCAAACUCCUACGGGAGGCAGCAGUAGGGAAUCUUCCACAAUGGACGAAAGUCUGAUGGAGCAACGCCGCGUGAGUGAAGAAGGGUUUCGGCUCGUAAAACUCUGUUGUUAAAGAAGAACAUAUCUGAGAGUAACUGUUCAGGUAUUGACGGUAUUUAACCAGAAAGCCACGGCUAACUACGUGCCAGCAGCCGCGGUAAUACGUAGGUGGCAAGCGUUGUCCGGAUUUAUUGGGCGUAAAGCGAGCGCAGGCGGUUUUUUAAGUCUGAUGUGAAAGCCUUCGGCUCAACCGAAGAAGUGCAUCGGAAACUGGGAAACUUGAGUGCAGAAGAGGACAGUGGAACUCCAUGUGUAGCGGUGAAAUGCGUAGAUAUAUGGAAGAACACCAGUGGCGAAGGCGGCUGUCUGGUCUGUAACUGACGCUGAGGCUCGAAAGUAUGGGUAGCAAACAGGAUUAGAUACCCUGGUAGUCCAUACCGUAAACGAUGAAUGCUAAGUGUUGGAGGGUUUCCGCCCUUCAGUGCUGCAGCUAACGCAUUAAGCAUUCCGCCUGGGGAGUACGGCCGCAAGGCUGAAACUCAAAGGAAUUGACGGGGGCCCGCACAAGCGGUGGAGCAUGUGGUUUAAUUCGAAGCUACGCGAAGAACCUUACCAGGUCUUGACAUACUAUGCAAAUUUAAGAGAUUAGACGUUCCCUUCGGGGACAUGGAUACAGGUGGUGCAUGGUUGUCGUCAGCUCGUGUCGUGAGAUGUUGGGUUAAGUCCCGCAACGAGCGCAACCCUUAUUAUCAGUUGCCAGCAUUAAGUUGGGCACUCUGGUGAGACUGCCGGUGACAAACCGGAGGAAGGUGGGGAUGACGUCAAAUCAUCAUGCCCCUUAUGACCUGGGCUACACACGUGCUACAAUGGAUGGUACAACGAGUUGCGAACUCGCGAGAGUAAGCUAAUCUCUUAAAGCCAUUCUCAGUUCGGAUUGUAGGCUGCAACUCGCCUACAUGAAGUCGGAAUCGCUAGUAAUCGCGGAUCAGCAUGCCGCGGUGAAUACGUUCCCGGGCCUUGUACACACCGCCCGUCACACCAUGAGAGUUUGUAACACCCAAAGUCGGUGG
rnacentral:rRNA from 1 species